AUCUGGGAUAGCUCAUUCGGUAGAGCAGGAGACUCUUAAUCUUGGGGUUGUGGGUCCAAAACCCACCUUAGGCA